AGUGUCCCCUCAGGAGUUGGACUGCUUGCUAUGAUGUGUGCUGACCUCUAGGGGGAGGCAUGGAAAAAGGAAGGCCCCGAUCAGCCCAGAUCACUGGCCAGGCCUAAGGACCCUACCUG